rnacentral:tRNA from 1 species
ACUGGGGUGGCAGAGCAUGGUUAAUUGCGAAAGGUCUAAGCCCUUUAUGUCAGAGGUUCAAAUCCUCUUCCCAGUU